rnacentral:rRNA from 1 species
UACGGAGGGUGCGAGCGUUGUCCGGAAUCAUUGGGCGUAAAGCGCGUGUAGGCGGCCCGGUAAGUCCGCUGUGAAAGUCGGGGGCUCAACCCUCGGAUGCCGGUGGAUACUGUCGGGCUCGAGUACGGAAGAGGCGAGUGGAAUUCCUGGUGUAGCGGUGAAAUGCGCAGAUAUCAGGAGGAACACCAAUUGCGAAGGCAGCUCGCUGGGACGUUACUGACGCUGAGACGCGAAAGCGUGGGGAGCAAACAGG